AAAUCUCGUUAGAUCACCGAAGUUAAGCAUCAUUGGGCGCGGUCAGUACUUGGGUGGGUGACCACCUGGGAACACUGCGUGCCGUU